rnacentral:rRNA from 1 species
GAUGAACGCUGGCGGCGUGCCUAAUACAUGCAAGUCGAACGAAGAUCUAGCUUGCUAGGUCUUAGUGGCGAACGGGUGAGUAAUACAUAAAUAAUCUGCCCAUAUGACUGGGAUAACUAUUGGAAACGAUAGCUAAUACCGGAUAGGUUGAUCGGAGGCAUCUCUGAUGAAUUAAAGUAGGAUUUCUACACAAAUGGAUGAGUUUAUGGCGCAUUAGUUAGUUGGUGGGGUAACGGCCUACCAAGACGAUGAUGCGUAGCCGACCUGAGAGGGUGACCGGCCACACUGGGACUGAGACACGGCCCAGACUCCUACGGGAGGCAGCAGUAGGGAAUUUUCGGCAAUGGGCGCAAGCCUGACCGAGCAACGCCGCGUGAGUGAUUAAGGCCUUCGGGUUGUAAAGCUCUGUUGUAAGGGAAGAACAUUCAGGAUAGGAAAUGAUCUUGAACUGACGGUACCUUACCAGAAAGCCACGGCUAACUUCGUGCCAGCCGCCGCCGUAA